rnacentral:sRNA from 1 species
GUUGUCUUAGAGUGGGACUGCGAUGCUGCAACUGCCAUCUUCUGCAUGGUACCUGAUAAUGUUCAGAACUAUUCACAAACUGGGUCCUAAUCCCUUCCCCAGGCAAUUGAUCACACAGCACACCCAUGAGGCUAUAGUUACAUGCUUAGAGUCAGAAAGCAAGAGUGGGAACGUAUGAAACACAAUUAUGUCAUCACAACCGGCUCAGACCUGAUUUUAUCAUGCCUAUUUGAUGAUGGGUUGCUACUGUACAAGCUACUUUACAGAGUGGCUGCUAGGCCUUAAUGGGUCAGAUAACACUGCUCAUAAUGAACAGUUCAGGUUUCAUGAUACUCAAUGGCCCGUUGUUAACUGUUCAGUUCCUGCUAAGGCCCAACAUCUAGCUUUCUUUCAAAGGGAGAAUAGUUGUAUGCAGAUGACAUUAGGGACUUCCUCUAAAGAUCGAAGGGCCUCCACUGUAAUUCAUGGAUAGGAGCCUGCCAAAGGCUCCAAAUAGCAUCCCUAUCUGCCACUGCCACUUCAAGUACCAUUGGGUAAGCUGGAUCAUAUGGUCCAGAUGGCAGAGCAACUGCACGAAAGCUUAAACUUGUUGAAAAGCCUUCUCUCAUUCCAGACCAUACUGAAAAUGGGAAGGUUUCUCUGUUCUCCUUUUUUUUGUUCGUAGGCUUGAGCAACACACCCAAGUGGGGAAUGUGUGGCCUCCAAAAUAGGCCCGCUACACAUUGUGAGUCCUUCGUGGUGGUGGGAGAAGCCACAUGCACUCUCCUUAUACUAGAAGUAAUAUUUCUUCAUCUUUUACACCACUGGGCCCCCCAAAUUUCAGCAAAGUAGAAGGCCCUUUGGGUUGUAUUCAAUUCCAGUCCUCUGAUAUGCAUGUUUUACCAACUUGUCCAGAGUGGUUGCUAUCUUAUGCUCACUUGCCCCAGUUACAGUGAUGUCAUCAAUGUCAUGGUCCAGUGUGAUGUCUUGUGGAACAGAUAGGUGGUCAGAAUCUUCAUGAGCUAAAUUAUGACAUAGGACUGGCGUGCUGAGAGACCUUUGAAGCACAACAGUAAAGUUAUACUUCUGGCUUUGCCAGAUGAAAGCAGACUCCUUUUGGUGGUCCUCAUGGACAGGUAUGAAGCAAAGAGCGUUUGCAAAAUCAACAGCUGUUUACCAUGUUGCAGGAGAACCCUUACUCUGCUCAAACUCAGACAGCAUUCCUGGUACAGAAGCAGCAGUUAGAGUAAUUAUUUGACUAAGUUUGCAAUGAUCAGCUGCCAUUGUCUGUGAUUCAUCUGUUUUCUCCAUUGUCUAUGAUUCAUCAUCUGUUUUCUGCACAGGCUGAAGAGAAGAGACAUUUGAAUUUGAACAACCACUGAGGAGCCCAGGUUCCAGGCACCACAGUCAUUUCUGAUGAGACUCUCAACUAUACAGAGGUAGAAAGCCUCUUCGGGAUCCUGAAUAACUGGGUCCCCGCUGGCGGGGACAAGUGGCGCCCGAACAGGGACCCCAAAGCAAGGCUGACUACAGGACGACGGAGAUAAGAGAGCUGCAGCGGGAAUCGAGGACUCUUCAGGCCGUAUCGCUCGUAUCGCUCGUGCGUCGCUGAAGAAGGAGAGCAAUGAAGCUCUACUGGAUUCUACUGAAACUUCUCUUUCCAACUGUGCUGACAUCCGGAACAUCAAGCCCCUAUCAGAUUUGGAAUUACACCUGGAAAUUCUGUUUCAGUACAUUAUCAUCGCUUGGAGACCGG